UGGGGAAUAUUGGACAAUGGGCGAAAGCCUGAUCCAGCCAUGCCGCGUGUGUGAAGAAGGUCUUCGGAUUGUAAAGCACUUUAAGUUGGGAGGAAGGGCAGUAAGCGAAUACCUUGCUGUUUUUACGUUACCGACAGAAUAAGCACCGGCUAACUCUGUGCCAGCAGUCGCGGUAAUACAGAGGGUGCAAGCGUUAAUCGGAAUUACUGGGCGUAAAGCGCGCGAAGGUGUUUCGUUAAAUUGAAAGUGAAAGCCCCGGGAACAACCCGGGAACAGCGUCUAGAACUGGCAAUCUCGAGUAGCGCAGAGGGUGGUGUAAUUUCCUGUGUGGCGGUGAAAAGCGUAGAUAUAGAAAGGAACACCAGGGGCGAAGGCGACCACCUAGGCUCAUACUGACACUGAGGUGCGAAAGCGUGGGGAGCAAACAGG
rnacentral:rRNA from 1 species